rnacentral:lncRNA from 10 species
AAGCAGGAUUCUGAUGGCCAAACAUGAGGAAGCUGGAUAAGGGGAAGGCUGGGGAUGGGGUGGGGGAGGUGGGGCUAGGUGGGUGUCUGUCCCUUAGCCCCCUACCUCUCUACCUCCUCUCUGUGCUGCAGAGACUGCCCACCUGUGACAGUGACAGUGAAGAAGGCCGAGUCAUCUCCAGCAUCACAUACAAACUCGCCCCCGUCCUCGGGCUGAGCAGCAGGUAGCACCAGGCGGCAGCGUGGCCCAUCCCUCUCCAGCACCAGGGCCUCGCUCUCCUCCACUUCCAGCCCAUCCUUGUACCAGCGCACAGGGGCAUCCUCCCGAGACAGUUCACACAUCAGCACCACACACUCCAAGGUCACGGCGAUCAAGGUCACCUCAUCGCGAGGGUAUAUGAUCCGCACUGGGGGUUCUGCAGGGUGGGGACAACCACAGCCUGUCACAAGCUCACCGUCAGCCUCUCUGGAGCCAUUCGGCAGCAUGAAGUCCCUAUCACCCACAUAAUAAUGAGAAUAAUAAGUAAAAUAAUAAUAAGCAAUAA